UACGUAGGGUGCAAGCGUUAUCCGGAAUUAUUGGGCGUAAAGAGCUCGUAGGCGGUUUGUCGCGUCUGCUGUGAAAUCCGGAGGCUCAACCUCUGGCCUGCAGUGGAUACGGGCAAACUAGAGUGCGGUAGGGGAGAUUGGAAUUCCUGGUGUAGCGGUGGAAUGCGCAGAUAUCAGGAGGAACACCGAUGGCGAAGGCAGAUCUCUGGGCCGUAACUGACGCUGAGGAGCGAAAGCGUGGGGAGCGAACAGG
rnacentral:rRNA from 1 species